UGGGUAACCUGCCCUUUUGUGGGGAACAACUUCGAGAAAUCGGAGCUAAUACCGCAUAAUAAUAGAGGAUCGCAUGAUUCUUUAAGGAAAGAUGGCCUCUGAAGAUGCUAUCGCAAAAGGAUGGACCCGCGUCUGAUUAGCUAGUUGGAAGGGUAACGGCCUACCAAGGCAACGAUCAGUAGCCGGCCUGAGAGGGUGAACGGCCACAUUGGGACUGAGACACGGCCCAAACUCCUACGGGAGGCAGCAG
rnacentral:rRNA from 1 species